CGGGCGAGCCGAGGGGGCGCGUCGCCCCGCGGCCGCGGGGACCUGCGCUGAGUUGGAGCAGGGAUAGCCGCAGGCCACAGGCGCGCCCCCAGCGCGGCCCGCGGGAGGCGGCUCUGCCCGCGGCUGUCACUGGGACCCGCGGCUGCCCUACGGGAUUGGGAAAGGUGGCGGUGGGGAUAAAAGGCGCGACCCACGCGCUCCAGUAGCUCCCGCCCUCGGGAGACCCCAGCCCUGCUCGGGGUCACCCGCAGAUUUCGUGUCACCUCUCUGCGCCGUGCCCCCCGUUUGUGUGCGGGUGCUGAGGCGGAUGGGCAGUCAGUUCCCAGGUUGUGCGAUGAGCAGUCCCGUUAGCGUCCGCGCUUUGAUACUGGUCGCGGGUCAGCCCUGAACUGCUCCGAGAAAACCUUCACAACUUUUCCUCCUUGUGCAGAACUUUUUCAAUUCGAAAUACUCCGUUUUCCCCAUACUACGAACUUCCAGAAGUCUACAUGUCUGUAACAACUCUAUCCAAGGAGAAGCAGUACAUAAAAGCUGCAAAUGCCAUGGCUGAACCACAGCUGAAGAGACGAGCCAUUUCCACAAACUUUAGUGAAUAGAGAAUUCUGAAAAGCAAGUAUUUUUGUCCUGUUCACAUCAAUUCAAAUGUGUUCUUCUCAACAGUUUUGAUUUUAUUAUUUUUGCUGAAUAUGUCAGCCCCAAGUGACUGUUCACUUGGCAUAUGUCUUGCGUAGGAAGGGUUAAAAUAGGCAGGUAUUUUGUCUGAUGACUUGGCUAAGCAUCUUACAAGCAGGGCUUGAGUGGAAAAUAUUUAAACAAGAGUUAUUUCCCUUUACUUCUCUGCUCUAGUGAGACUUAUUAAUGUCUUCUUAUUUUAAGCCAGGAAAUGAUGCCCCCCACACCUUAAAUCCCAGCCAGUUCUUAUGUGUGGCUGCAGCUUUCCCAGAUUUUAUUCACAUUAUGACAGACAAGCUGUGAAGAUCGAUAGCAGCAAAAGCACAGAUUUCAACAUGUGUAAACCUUGAUAACAAACGCCUUUUUUUUCACCUGUAGAACGGUAUUAUAGAGGUGUGUUUUUAAAGGACAGAAGUAUCUCUGUGCAUGCCCUUCUAAAAUGAAACCACAAAGCCAUUCGUAAGGAAAGAUGAGAAGGACACAACAUGUCUUCAUAGUUUCAAGUAGACAACUCUAAUGAAAUACUCUAUCUCUCAGAAAAAGUUUGUUACCGUAUCUUUAUUAGAAAUGCUUUCAUGAUACAUUCUGCAUUUCAAGUUAAAAUAAAGCAGAUCAAGAAGACAUGAAUCUGUUUAUAUUCACCACAAAGAACUGUAGAGAACUUAAUAAAGGCAAAAAUAUUUUUAUAAAUUUUUUCAGGCAAAUUAUUUAUUUAUGAAAUAAUUUACAAAGAAAAUUUUUACCUCAUGGCUUAGAUACAUUGCAUAUGCUUAUGAUUGACACAAUAUGUUCAGGCUCAAAGGCCCAUAUAGACUUUUUUCCCUCUUUUUUUUUUUUUAGUCCUAGCAGGAAUAUUUCAAAACAGCCAACUAAUUCAUGAAGUCAUACAAUAAUUGUUUGAGAGUUGUUUCCAAUAUAGGAAAAUAAGUUAUGUAUAUUGUUUUCAUUCAAAUAUUUGUUGAUUUGUUGUUAGAAUGCUUUGACAUUGACAUGCCGCAAACUGCAUUAGGAGAAAUAUUGUAGAUUUUUUUUUUCAUUUAUUAUCUUCUGCUGUCAAACUUUUCCAAAACCACUUAAAGCAAGUUUUAUUUCACUUUGUUCAAAACUCAUAGUCUGCAUGAAAGUAGGUUGUUUUUGAAAUAACAGGUUCAGGUUUCUUUAAUAGAUAAGAGCUGAGGAAGUGAAGGAAAAGCAGCAAAGCGAAAAGAUGCAGAGAAAGUGCUGCUUUCACUGAGAGGCAUGAACAAAGUAACUUCUAAAUAAUCCUCGGGUUUUUUUACAGUCAGACACGUUCUCCAUUGAGGGAGAAUACAGAGGCCAGUCACAGUUGCUUCUUGAAAGAAAACAGUAUAACAGUCAUUGUUUAUCAAGAUGACAUAACAUGCCAUUUUUGCCUUUAUUAUUUAAUGCAGUUUCUCUUGUCGUUUACUCAGCGUAGAUACAAAGAGGGAUUAACAGUAAAGCAUAAGCAUACUUGUUUUACAAUUUCAGCCUUUUAGUGCAUAACUUACUUAAAGUACUAGGGCCUAUAAUCACAAUGAUUUUACCUGAUGGAACAUGCAUUUCAGAAAUAUAAUCCAACUGUUUACCCUAACACGUCAUAAAUUGCAAUUCUUUACAAAAACCUCAGAAAUUGACAUCCGUUGCUCUUAAAUGCCUGCUGCUUUAGCACAUAUCAUCAAGAAAGUAUUUCUGUAUUAUUCUCCCUCUGCUUGGUAGCAUAUUACUUGAAUUCUAAAGACGGUUCUCUUAUACUGUCUUCAGUAAUGAACAUUUUGAGAAGCACUUA